rnacentral:tRNA from 1 species
GGCCCUGUGGUGUAAUGGCAGCAUUAGCGCUUUGGGAGCGCUCGAUGGGAGUUCGACUCUCCCCGGGGCCA